rnacentral:rRNA from 1 species
CCUACGGGUGGCUGCAGUGGGGAAUAUUGGACAAUGGGCGAAAGCCAGAUCCAGCCAUGCCGCGUGUGUGAAGAAGGCCUUCGGGUUGUAAAGCACUUUCAGUGGGGAAGAAAGCCUUGGGGCUAAUACCCUCGAGGAAGGACAUCACCCACAGAAGAAGCACCGGCUAACUCCGUGCCAGCAGCCGCGGUAAUACGGAGGGUGCGAGCGUUAAUCGGAAUUACUGGGCGUAAAGCGCGCGUAGGCGGUCUGAUAAGCCGGUUGUGAAAGCCCCGGGCUCAACCUGGGAACGGCAUCCGGAACUGUCAGGCUAGAGUGCAGGAGAGGAAGGUAGAAUUCCCGGUGUAGCGGUGAAAUGCGUAGAGAUCGGGAGGAAUACCAGUGGCGAAGGCGGCCUUCUGGACUGACACUGACGCUGAGGUGCGAAAGCGUGGGUAGCAAACAGGAUUAGAUACCCUAGUAGUC